ACUCUUCAAAACAAAGAUAGCAGUGGAAUGAAUCCCAGGGUAUUUAUAGUUGUUUAAGAGUCAUCUGAUUGGAGCGUAGUGAAUAGGAUAAUGCGGAUCUAGCCGCUAAUCAUAAGCAUGUGAUCCUCUCGACAUUUGUUUAUACAUAAACUUCACUUAUAACAUUAAUAAAGUGGGAAAAUAACAGCCUAUAGUCAGCUAGCAGGUCAGCAUUGCGUCACUGUGAAUGAGUCGGCCUGUCUGGUUUCAGAAUAUAAAAACACAAGCCUUUAUUUUUGUUUUCUUCUGAUUUUAUUUUUUGUUAUUUGAAAUUAAAAAAAAGAAAAUUAAAUCAAAAACGCAUUAAAUUUCAAUUUUCAUUUUUAAAUUGUAAAACGAAAAUCAGAAAACGACUUGUUUUACGUUUUUCAAUAUCUGUUUCUAAAAUGAAACUCCAAUGACUAAAAGAUACGUCUCCUUAUUUGAGUACUGCACGCCCUGUUCAACACAUAAAACUAAACAGAACAAGACAGAGUCUAAAGCAAGGCUGCCCAAACUCGGUCCUGGAGGGCCGCUGUCCUGCAUAUUUUUGUUUCAACCCCAAUUAAACACUCCUGAACAAGCUAAUCAAGCUGUUUCUAGGUAUACAAGAAAGCUACAAGCAGGUGUGUUUAAGAAAGUUGGAGCUAAACUAUGCAGGACAGCGGCCCUCUAGGACCGAGUUAGACACCCCUGCUCUAAAGAAUCAAAACAAAAGAAUCACAAUAGUGAAGAAUCAACUCUUUUGAAUUGAUUCAGAACUAAUGAUCAGUGUGUGUGUGUGUGUGUGUGUGUGUGUGUGUGUGUGUGUGUGUGUUGGUCAUCCAGACUCACAGCAGGCAACAGCGAGAAACAAACCAUGAAAAAACUGGAAGAAAAACUCAAUUAAAGCCACAAACUAAACUAAACCAAAGCAGUGUGUGUUAUUCCUGCACACACACACACACACAGGACAGACAUCAGGACAUGCAGAGGGCACACUGUGUGUGUGUAUGAAUCUGUGUGUGUGGUUGUGUGUAUAUGUGAAUGUGUAAGAUUGUAUUGAUGU